rnacentral:snRNA from 1 species
GUACUUUCUUGACCCAAUAAACUUUAUAAUUUUCGCCUUUUACUAAAGAUUACCAUGGAGGGGAACAUUACAAUAAGCCUAUAGGCAAUUUUUGAAAUCCUGCUUUACACGGGAU